rnacentral:rRNA from 1 species
CCUACGGGCGGCAGCAGUGGGGAAUAUUGGACAAUGGGCGAAAGCCUGAUCCAGCCAUGCCGCGUGUGUGAAGAAGGCCUUCGGGUUGUAAAGCACUUUCAGUGGGGAAGAAAGCCUUGGGGCUAAUACCCUCGAGGAAGGACAUCACCCACAGAAGAAGCACCGGCUAACUCCGUGCCAGCAGCCGCGGUAAUACGGAGGGUGCGAGCGUUAAUCGGAAUUACUGGGCGUAAAGCGCGCGUAGGCGGUCUGAUAAGCCGGUUGUGAAAGCCCCGGGCUCAACCUGGGAACGGCAUCCGGAACUGUCAGGCUAGAGGGCAGGAGAGGAAAGUAGAAUUCCCGGUGUAGCGGUGAAAUGCGUAGAGAUCGGGAGGAAUACCAGUGGCGAAGGCGGCCUUCUGGACUGACACUGACGCUGAGGUGCGAAAGCGUGGGUAGCAAACAGGAUUAGAUACCCGUGUAGUC